UACGGAGGGUGCGAGCGUUGUCCGGAAUCACUGGGCGUAAAGGGCGCGUAGGCGGCCUGAUAAGUAGGGGGUGAAAUCCUGCGGCUUAACCGCAGGGCUGCCUUCUAAACUGUCAGGCUAGAGCACAGUAGAGGCAGGUGGAAUUCCCGGUGUAGCGGUGGAAUGCGUAGAUAUCGGGAGGAACACCUGUGGCGAAGGCGGCCACCUGGAAGACAACUGACGCUGGAGACGCGAAAGCGUGGGGAGCAAACAGG
rnacentral:rRNA from 1 species